rnacentral:sRNA from 1 species
UUGGCAUUGAAUCCGAUUCAAUGGAUUCUAAGCCAUCCUGUUUGCCUAGAAUAAUCAAUGAAGAUUUUUUCGCUAACAUUGCGUGUCGUUUUUCGGACACUGACGCAUAGUUUGAUAGUAGAUCUCUUCACAUUU